rnacentral:rRNA from 1 species
AUUGAACGCUGGCGGCAUGCCUAACACAUGCAAGUCGAACGGAAACGAUGGAAGCUUGCUUCCAGGCGUCGAGUGGCGGACGGGUGAGUAAUGCUUAGGAAUCUGCCCAGUAGUGGGGGACAACUCGGGGAAACUCGAGCUAAUACCGCAUACGCCCUACGGGGGAAAGCAGGGGAUCUUCGGACCUUGCGCUAUUGGAUGAGCCUAAGUCGGAUUAGCUUGUUGGUGAGGUAAAAGCUCACCAAGGCGACGAUCCGUAGCUGGUCUGAGAGGACGAUCAGCCACACUGGGACUGAGACACGGCCCAGACUCCUACGGGAGGCAGCAGUGGGGAAUAUUGGACAAUGGGGGCAACCCUGAUCCAGCAAUGCCGCGUGUGUGAAGAAGGCCUGCGGGUUGUAAAGCACUUUCAGUAGAGAAGAAAAGCUUAACGAUAAUACCGUUGAGUCUUGACGUAACCUACAGAAGAAGCUCCGGCUAACUCCGUGCCAGCAGCCGCGGUAAUACGGAGGGAGCGAGCGUUAAUCGGAAUUACUGGGCGUAAAGCGCGCGUAGGCGGCUUUGUAAGUCGGAUGUGAAAGCCCUGGGCUUAACCCAGGAAUUGCAUUCGAUACUGCAUGGC